AACACAUGCAAGUCGAGCGGAUGAAGGGAGCUUGCUCCUGGAUUCAGCGGCGGACGGGUGAGUAAUGCCUAGGAAUCUGCCUGGUANUGGGGGAUAACGUCCGGAAACGGGCGCUAAUACCGCAUACGUCCUGAGGGAGAAAGUGGGGGAUCUUCGGACCUCACGCUAUCAGAUGAGCCUAGGUCGGAUUAGCUAGUUGGUGGGGUAAAGGCCUACCAAGGCGACGAUCCGUAACUGGUCUGAGAGGAUGAUCAGUCACACUGGAACUGAGACACGGUCCAGACUCCUACGGGAGGCAGCAGUGGGGAAUAUUGGACAAUGGGCGAAAGCCUGAUCCAGCCAUGCCGCGUGUGUGAAGAAGGUCUUCGGAUUGUAAAGCACUUUAAGUUGGGAGGAAGGGCAGUAAGUUAAUACCUUGCUGUUUUGACGUUACCAACAGAAUAAGCACCGGCUAACUUCGUGCCAGCAGCCGCGGUAAUACGAAGGGUGCAAGCGUUAAUCGGAAUUACUGGGCGUAAAGCGCGCGUAGGUGGUUCAGCAAGUUGGAUGUGAAAUCCCCGGGCUCAACCUGGGAACUGCAUCCAAAACUACUGAGCUAGAGUACGGUAGAGGGUGGUGGAAUUUCCUGUGUAGCGGUGAAAUGCGUAGAUAUAG
rnacentral:rRNA from 1 species